rnacentral:lncRNA from 1 species
CACAAAGCAUUGCCACACAAGAAUCUUUCAAGAAAGGAAAGAUAUGACCUUUCUGCCUCCAUGUUGCCACACCAACCGAGUAACACAUAAUCAUUUUCUUUUUCCACCAUAUAAUUGCUAUAUUCUUACGCUAUUUACUUUUUCUUUGAGUAUCUCAUCUCUAAUCUUCUAUGGAAUCAGUACUUAAAAUCUACUGAUUCAGUGCACUACAGAAAGGAAAAAGGAAAAAAAAAAUACAAACAAAAUGUGGUGAUAUUCUCUAGGGUUAGUUCUUCCCUACGUGACA